rnacentral:rRNA from 1 species
GACGAACCGUGCGAACGUUGUUCGGAAUCACUGGGCUUAAAGGGCGCGUAGGCGGGUUUGCAAGUCUGCGGUGAAAGCCUCCAGCUUAACUGGAGAAGUGCCGUGGAUACUGCGGAUCUCGAGGAGGGUAGGGGCAUCUGGAACGGUCGGUGGAGCGGUGAAAUGCGUUGAUAUCGACCGGAACUCCGGUGGCGAAGGCGAGGUGCUGGACCCUUUCUGACGCUGAGGCGCGAAAGCCAGGGGAGCAAACGGG